GCCAUCCCAGAACCCGUGGCACCCCCUGCCCCUCCAGCUCCCCCUGCCAUGCCAAGACCUGGGGAACCCCCUGCCCCUCGAGCCCCUGAAAUGCUUCUUGCUAAUCCAGCCCCAGAAGCUCUCACGGUGGAGUAGUGUCAUUACCAUGGCUGAAUAAAGCUGGAAAACCUGAUUUUUCAUUCAGAUUUUACACUUUGGUGGCUUUUGAGUAAAUCCCCUCUGCGUAUGCA